rnacentral:rRNA from 1 species
GAUGAACGCUGGCGGCGUGCCUAAUACAUGCAAGUCGAGCGAACAGACGAAGAGCUUGCUCCUCUGACGUUAGCGGCGGACGGGUGAGUAACACGUGGAUAACCUACCUAUAAGACUGGGAUAACUUCGGGAAACCGGAGCUAAUACCGGAUAAUAUAUUGAACCGCAUGGUUCAAUAGUGAAAGACGGUUUUGCUGUCACUUAUAGAUGGAUCCGCGCCGCAUUAGCUAGUUGGUAAGGUAACGGCUUACCAAGGCAACGAUGCGUAGCCGACCUGAGAGGGUGAUCGGCCACACUGGAACUGAGACACGGUCCAGACUCCUACGGGAGGCAGCAGUAGGGAAUCUUCCGCAAUGGGCGAAAGCUUGACGGAGCAACGCCGCGUGAGUAAUGAAGGUCUUCGGAUCGUAAAACUCUGUUAUUAGGGAAGAACAAAUGUGUAAGUAACUAUGCACGUCUUGACGGUACCUAAUCAGAAAGCCACGGCUAACUACGUG